UGAAUUGACGAUAACUACUAGUGGUAUAUGAGUUGUGUCUGAUAAAUACAUGUCUGGAACUCUGAGGUCUAA
rnacentral:snoRNA from 1 species